rnacentral:rRNA from 1 species
UACGUAGGGUGCGAGCGUUAAUCGGAAUUACUGGGCGUAAAGCGUGCGCAGGCGGUUUUGUAAGCCAGAUGUGAAAGCCCCGGGCUCAACCUGGGAACUGCAUUUGAGACUGCUCUGCUCGGGUGCGGAAGAGGGAAGCGGAAUUUCCGGUGUAGCGGUGAAAUGCGUAGAUAUCGGAAGGAACACCAGUGGCGAAAGCGGCUUCCUGGUCCGACACCGACGUUCAGGCACGAAAGCGUGGGGAGCAAACAGG